rnacentral:rRNA from 1 species
CUCCGUGCCAGCAGCCGCGGUAAUACGGAGGGUGCGAGCGUUAAUCGGAAUUACUGGGCGUAAAGCGCAUGCAAGGCGGCCUGUUAAGUACAGAUGUGAAAGCCCGGGGCUUAACCUCGGAAAUUGCAUUUGAAACUUGGCAGGCUAGAGUCUUGUAGAGGGGGGUAGGAAUUUCAGGUGUAGCGGUGAAAUGCGUAGAGAUCUGAAGGAAUACCAGUGGCGAAGGCGGCCCCCUGGACAAAGACUGACGCUCAGAUGCGAAAGCGUGGGGAGCAAACAGGAUUAGAUACCCUGGUAG